GUAUUUAAAUUGCGUUAAAGCAACAUAUCACAUUCUAAGACAUGCAAAGUGUAUAUGAAAGACAUGAGAAUCGUCCCGAGAGACGUCCCACAUUGAGUUCACAGGUGUAAGUGGAUUAAGAGCUCGGGCGUGCACAUGCCCCGAGGGGCCAGCGACAACCUUUGCUUAUAAUUCGAUAAUGAUCCUUCCGCAGGUUCACCUACGGAAA
rnacentral:misc_RNA from 1 species